AAAUCCCCGGGCUUAACCUGGGAAUGGCGCCUGUGACUGUAUAGCUAGAGUGUGUCAGAGGGGGGUAGAAUUCCACGUGUAGCAGUGAAAUGCGUAGAUAUGUGGAGGAAUACCAAUGGCGAAGGCAGCCCCCUGGGAUAACACUGACGCUCAUGCACGAAAGCGUGGGGAGCAAACAGGAUUAGAUACCCUGGUAGUCCACGCCCUAAACGAUGCUGACUAGUUGUUCGGGAUUUACAUCCUGAGUAACGUAGCUAACGCGUGAAGUCAGCCGCCUGGGGAGUACGGUCGCAAGAUUAAAGCUCAAAGGAAUUGACGGGGACCCGCGCAASUGUGAUGAUGUGGAUUAAUUC
rnacentral:rRNA from 1 species